CAGUCGAGCGAGUCUGCCUUGAAGAUCGGAGUGCUUGCACUCUGUGAAACAAGAUACAGGCUAGCGGCGGACGGGUGAGUAACACGUGGGUAACCUGCCCAAGAGAUCGGGAUAACACCUGGAAACAGAUGCUAAUACCGGAUAACAACAGAUGAUGCCUAUCAACUGUUUAAAAGAUGGUUCUGCUAUCACUCUUGGAUGGACCUGCGGUGCAUUAGCUAGUUGGUAGGGUAACGGCCUACCAAGGCGAUGAUGCAUAGCCGAGUUGAGAGACUGAUCGGCCACAUUGGGACUGAGACACGGCCCAAACUCCUACGGGAGGCAGCAGUAGGGAAUCUUCCACAAUGGACGCAAGUCUGAUGGAGCAACGCCGCGUGAGUGAAGAAGGGUUUCGGCUCGUAAAGCUCUGUUGUUGGUGAAGAAGGACAGGGGUAGUAACUGACCUUUGUUUGACGGUAAUCAAUUAGAAAGUCACGGCUAACUACGUGCCAGCAGCCGCGGUAAUACGUAGGUGGCAAGCGUUGUCCGGAUUUAUUGGGCGUAAAGCGAGUGCAGGCGGCUCGAUAAGUCUGAUGUGAAAGCCUUCGGCUCAACCGGAGAAUUGCAUCAGAAACUGUCGAGCUUGAGUACAGAAGAGGAGAGUGGAACUCCAUGUGUAGCGGUGAAAUGCGUAGAUAUAUGGAAGAACACCGGUGGCGAAGGCGGCUCUCUGGUCUGUUACUGACGCUGAGGCUCGAAAGCAUGGGUAGCGAACAGGAUUAGAUACCCUGGUAGUCCAUGCCGUAAACGAUGAGUGCUAAGUGUUGGGAGGUUUCCGCCUCUCAGUGCUGCAGCUAACGCA
rnacentral:rRNA from 1 species